AUGGCUGGAAAGGACAGUGGGAACCUGAAGACGGUGAGGCUGUGGCGGGACGCCGCCCUGCGCGCCAGGAAGCUGCGGAGCAACCUGCGCCAGCUCACGCUCAGCGCGGCCGGGGCCGACCCCAUCGACUCCCCCGACGCGCCCCAGCUCGUGCUGCCGGCCAACAUCGGGGACAUUGAGGUGCUGAACCUGGGCAACAACGGCCUGGAGGAGGUGCCCGACGGGCUGGGCUCGGCGCUGGGCAGCCUGCGUGUCCUGGUCCUGCGCAGGAACCGCUUCGCCCGCCUGCCCCCGGCGGUGGCCGAGUUGGGCCACCACCUCACUGAGCUGGACGUGAGCCACAACCGGCUGACCGCCCUGGGCGCAGAGGUGGUGAGUGCUCUGCGGGAGCUGCGCAAGCUCAACCUCAGCCACAACCAGCUGCCCGCCCUGCCCGCCCAGCUGGGCGCCCUUGCCCACCUGGAGGAGCUGGAUGUUAGCUUUAACCGGCUGGCGCACCUGCCCGACUCCCUCUCCUGCCUCUACCGCCUGCGCACCCUCGACGUGGACCACAACCAGCUCACUGCUUUUCCCCGGCAGCUGCUGCAGCUGGCGGCCCUGGAGGAGCUGGACGUGUCCAGCAACCGGCUGCGGGGCCUACCUGAGGAUAUCAGUGCCCUGCGUGCCCUCAAGAUCCUCUGGCUCAGUGGGGCUGAGCUUGGCACCCUGCCCAGCGGCUUCUGUGAGCUGGCCAGCCUGGAGAGCCUCAUGCUAGACAACAACGGGCUGCAGGCUCUGCCCGCCCAGUUCAGCCGUCUGCAGCGGCUCAAAAUGCUCAACCUCUCCUCCAACCUUUUUGAGGAGUUCCCUGCCGCGCUGCUGCCCCUGGCUGGUCUGGAGGAGCUCUACCUUAGCCGCAACCAGCUCACCUCAGUGCCAUCCCUCAUCUCGGGCCUCAGUCGGCUUCUCACCCUGUGGCUGGAUAAUAACCGGAUCCGCUACCUGCCGGACUCCAUCGUGGAACUGACCGGCCUGGAGGAGCUGGUGCUGCAGGGGAACCAGAUCGCUGUGCUGCCGGACAACUUUGGCCAGCUCUCCCGGGUGGGCCUGUGGAAGAUCAAGGACAACCCACUGAUCCAGCCCCCCUACGAGGUCUGUAUGAAGGGGAUCCCCUACAUCGCAGCCUACCAGAAGGAGCUGGCUCAUUCCCAGCCGGCGGUGCAGCCGCGCCUCAAGCUGCUUCUGAUGGGCCAUAAGGCUGCAGGAAAGACCUUACUCCGCCACUGCCUCACCGAGGAGAGAGUGGAGGGAAACCAAGGAGGAGGGGACAAGGAGAAGAGCUACCCACCUUCACCUCCUCCCGUGAGUAAGGGCAUUGAGGUGACCAGCUGGACGGCCGAUGCUUCCCGGGGCCUGCGGUUCAUCGUGUAUGACUUAGCUGGCGAUGAAAGUUACGAGGUGAUCCAGCCCUUCUUCCUCUCCCCAGGAGCCCUUUAUGUGCUGGUGGUGAACUUGGCCACCUAUGAGCCACCCGGCUUUCCCACCACCGUGGGCUCCUUCUUGCAUCGGGUAGGGGCCCGGGUGCCUCACGCCGUGGUGUGCAUCGUGGGCACGCACGCAGACCUGUGUGGGGAGCGGGAGCUAGAGGAGAAGUGUCUGGACAUCCACCGCCAGAUCGCCCUGCAGGAGAAGCACGACGCGGAGGGGCUGAGCCGUCUGGCGCAGGUGGUGGACGAGGCCCUGGCCCGGGACUUCGAGCUGCGUUCCGCCAGCCCCCACGCAGCCUACUAUGGGGUUUCGGACAAGAACCUUCGGCGGCGCAAGGCCCAUUUUCAGUACCUGCUCAACCACCGGCUGCAGAUCCUCUCCCCGGUGUUGCCUGUUAGCUGCAGGGACCCCCGCCAAUUACAGCGCCUUCGGGACAAACUGCUCUCCGUGGCCGAGCACCGGGAAAUCUUCCCCAACUUACACAGAGUACUGCCUCGAUCCUGGCAGGUGCUGGAGGAACUGCAUUUCCAGCCCCCUCAGGCGCAGCGGCUUUGGCUAAGCUGGUGGGACUCGGCGCGCCUGGGCUUGCAGGCGGGUCUGACCGAGGACCGGCUGCAGAGCGCUCUCUCCUACCUGCACGAGAGCGGCAAGCUGCUCUACUUUGAGGACAGCCCGGCGCUCAAGGAGCACGUCUUCCACAACCUCACCCGCCUCAUCGACAUUCUCAAUGUCUUUUUCCAGAGGGAUCCUUCCUUGCUGCUGCAUAAGCUGCUCCUAGGGACCAGCGGAGAGGGCGAAGGCGAGGGGGAAAGCUCCCCCGUGGUGGCGCUGCCCAACCCGAGCCAGGACCUGCUGCGGGCCACCCAGCUCCAUCAUUAUGUAGAGGGCUUUCUGCUUCAUGGGCUCUUGCCAGCCCAUGUCAUUCGGUUGCUGCUUAAGCCUCAUGUCCAGGCCCAGCAGGACUUGCAGCUGCUGCUGGAGCUGCUGGAGAAGAUGGGACUCUGUUACUGCCUCAAUAAACCCAAGGGCAAGCCUUUGAAUGGGUCCACGGCCUGGUACAAGUUCCCAUGCUAUGUGCAGAACGAAGUGCCCCACGCGGAGGCCUGGAUUAACGGGACCAACCUGGCGGGGCAGUCUUUCGUGGCUGAGCAACUGCAGAUUGAAUAUAGUUUUCCCUUUACCUUCCCACCUGGGUUGUUUGCACGCUACAGCGUCCAAAUCAACAGCCAUGUGGUGCACAGGUCCGAUGGGAAACUUCAGAUCUUUGCCUAUCGGGGGAAAGUUCCAGUGGUGGUGAGUUACAGACCUGCGAAGGGGGUCCUGCACCCAGACACUCUGUCCAUUGCCAGCCAUGCAUCAUUACCAAAUAUAUGGACGGCAUGGCAAGCCAUAACCCCUUUGGUAGAGGAACUGAAUGUCCUACUUCAGGAGUGGCCUGGACUGCACUACACCGUGCACAUUCUCUGUUCUAAGUGCCUUAAGAGAGGGUCACCCAAUCCACACGCUUUCCCAGGGGAGUUGCUGAGUCAGCCCAGACCAGAAGGAGUGGCAGAGAUCAUUUGCCCCAAGAACGGCAGCGAGCGAGUGAAUGUUGCCUUGGUCUACCCACCCACACCAACUGUGAUCAGCCCCUGUUCCAAGUAUCUCCAUACUUUCUUGGAAAAUUAAGUGGAAAAGAUAGUGCUUCUUUCCCUUAUGCCAUCAUUUUUACUGUACCCAAUCUGUGACUUUAGGAGCACCAAUUCUUAAGGGAAGAACGUUGGCGAAAAGCACAGAAACCAGUGACUUGUAUGGCUGUGGAAUUUCCGUGGAGAAAAGAGAGCAUCAGAACCCACCUGGACCAUCUUUCGGACCUGGCCAACCCUCCACACUCCCAAGAGUGUUCGUGAACUUGGGUGCCUAAGUGUUGAGGAUGCUCACAAAGGAGGAGCACACCUGGGCUGCGGACGAGGGGUGGGGGGGAAGAGCUGAGGGAAGGGUGGGAGGAUAUGGAGCAAAUGUUUUACAACCUGAACCUCAGAACUGUGAUCCUCCAAGGAGAGCGCUACUUGAAGAAAAGAAAAAAAAAAAGUCGAAUGGCUUCUCAGGGAUUUUGUUUUCCGUGCACAUAUAAGCCAUAGUUCCAGUGCAGGUGGCAGUAUUUAGAGCACUCAGAUUUCAGUUAUGUUAAAUGUGAAAGAGGGAUCGACUGACCAUUCAUUGCUGUUCCAUAACUAGUGUAAAAUAUGUAUAUGUUUUAUCUUUAUUUUUAUAAUAUGCAAAUACAUUUAAAUUUAUACAGUUUGAAGCUUCUAGCGUUAGUUAACACUGGGUGCAAUAUUCUGCAUGAGAACUGUGCCAAGAUGGGGCUGAUUUCUUAUUUUAGCAUAAGACCUUUUUGUUCAUUCUUUGUUCUUUAAUCCUUCUCAGAUUAAAAAAAAAAGAUAUCUGUCUGCCCGUGGAGUAAACGUUGGUUCACAGAGGUUGUCAAUAAUCUGCAAGAACCUUAAACAUGCAUUUCAGGCAAACGUGCAUUUCCCUCCCCUGCUUUUAAAUAAAGGUCCCUUUAUUUAUAAGGGCACACCAUUGGGCAGGAUAAUGGGAUUAUUCCUUUUCUUUACCCCACAUGUCACUAGUGCCGGGCAGUGUCCUUUCCUGCAGGUUUGGUGUUGACCGUGGGUUGUCACAGGUGAUGUGCUGAUGGAGGCCUGGUCUUAGGAUUCUCUAGUAAGCGGGGUAAAUGGGUCAGCAAGUCUUUCAAUAGCUUAAGCUAAUCAGGAGUCAGUGCUAAAGCAUGCCAAGAGCUCUGCUCCUAAGUCCUUUUUUUUCUAGAACAGUCUGUGAAAUUUCGCAGAGCACUUUGAAAGCCCUCCACAUCUGGCUGUCAGACCUUAAGAUAGUGAGCUGCCUAAUUGGAGAGCAUAAUCCCACAUUGGUUAUUUAUAAAUACAGAGCCUCUGAUUGGACUGUUGACUGCCCAGAGCUAGUAAAAGCCGUGUUUAAAAAUCUCCACAAAGUAAAAUUUAAAAAGCAAACCAAACAAAUUGCUGUCUCUUCAACUUUUAAUUGGGGCCAAACAGCGUCUGCUGCAACGGUAAUGCAUUCUCUGAAGAAUGUAAAAGACCCUUUACGUCUGCCUCCUUCAUGUGUUGAUUGAAAAUGUGUAAAACUGUUUCUCGCCAGGUUAGUAAGACAAGAAAAGGGAGUCAGCUAGUAGUAUUCUGUUACUUCUUUUAUAAAGUAUUGACUCUUAGAAUGCCACAGUAUACAAAGUCUCAGCUUAUUUUUAAGAGAAAUAACAAACAAGCAAGCAGCCGCAUUGUAAAAACUCACAAAUCGGUUUUUCUAGUUAAACCAGUAUGAUUUCUUAUGAUCACAAAAUCGAAUGAGAUCAGACCAUUUCUGUGUUUUUUACUACUUGAAUAUGACGCCUCAGAUUUGAGAUUUCAUUUUCUUUUUGAGCCCAUUCUCAAGAUUAAUCUGGUUAGUCCUUUUGUCACAGUUCUCGUGUGCGUGCGUGUGUGUGUGUGUAAGUGUAAACCGAAUGAUAACAUUUAAUUGCUUUAUGGACCAUUGAAUUGUUGGGCAUAAAAAUUUUUUAAUUGGCAUGAGACAGUUCCUAAACUGUCAAAUUAACCGACUUUGACCCGUCUUUUGAAAAAAGACUCUGAAGUGUGUGACUUCGGGCUAACUCCCCAGAGGACCAUAUGAAAUGAAAAAAAAAAAAAAAAUGGUCCUUUGGGUGACAUACCCUGCAAAGUAUUUGCUGUUACUAUGAACAUAAAUGCCCAUGUUCUUAAUAUCUGCUCUUUUUUGACAAGUGACGUCUUGUGCUGUCAUCUGAACCCUAGAGAAGCAGUGUAAGAAGAAAUCUUGGUGUCACAUGUGUUUUAGCAAAAAGGUCAUGACGAUAGAGGAUCAUGUGACUGAAAGAAGCUCCAGAAAAGCUUGAGAACUUGCUUCAGGGUCGGGGGGAGGGUUGGAGAUCCGGAAAACACUCUGCUCUACGAGAAUUUUCGCCGUCUAUGCAGGAAACUCACUCUUCUCUCUCGACACCUGGGAAGACUCAGCCAGCGGAGGCUGACAGGCAGUUCACUAAGCACAACGGGGUCUUUUCCAACCAAGUGGUCCCCUGCCUCGCAAACAGACGCCCUCCAAGUUUGUUAUGGUUUCUAUUCCUGCAACUUGUGGUAUCAGAACCACUUCCUGGAAUUGUGAAAGUGCUGCCAGAAUAAAUGUUUUUCCUCCUUCCAAGAAAAAAAAUGACAGUGCUCAUAUUUGACACUUGUGCUUUGGACUCUUUUGAAUGAAUAAAAAGGAAAGGGUUGGGUGUAAUUCCUGAUGGGGUGUGUGUUCUUUUUCAUGCCACAGUUUGUGAAUUGUAAUUGUGGUUUCCCAUUUAAUUGUCGUAACUGGGCAGAAAUUUAAAAAAAAAAAUCAAAAAAGUUCAAUAAAAAUACAAAGGAAUGGUUAAGCAAUUGUAUUU